CAGCCGCCGCGGUAAUACCGGUGGCUCGAGUGGUGGCCGCUUUUAUUGGGCUUAAAGCGUUCGUAGCUGGGUUGUUAAGUCUCUUGGGAAAUCUGGCGGCUUAACCGUCAGGCGUCUAAGGGAUACUGGCAAUCUUGGAACCGGGAGAGGUGAGGGGUACUUCGGGGGUAGGAGUGAAAUCCUGUAAUCCUCGAGGGACCACCUGUGGCGAAGGCGCCUCACCAGAACGGCUUCGACAGUGAGGGACGAAAGCUGGGGGAGCAAACCGGAUUAGAUACCCGGGUAGUCCCAGCCGUAAACUAUGCGCGUUAGGUGUAUCGGUGACCACGAGUUACCGAGGUGCCGAAGGGAAACCGUGAAACGUGCCGCCUGGGAAGUACGGUCGCAAGGCUGAAACUUAAAGGAAUUGGCGGG
rnacentral:rRNA from 1 species